rnacentral:rRNA from 1 species
UACAGAGGGUGCAAGCGUUGUUCGGAAUUAUUGGGCGUAAAGAGCUCGUAGGCGGUGUGUCGCGUCGGUCGUGAAAACUUGGGGCUUAACUCUGGGCCUGCAGUCGAUACGGGCAGACUUGAGUUCGGUAGGGGAGACUGGAAUUCCUGGUGUAGCGGUGAAAUGCGCAGAUAUCAGGAGGAACACCGGUGGCGAAGGCGGGUCUCUGGGCAGUAACUGACGCUGAGGAGCGAAAGCGUGGGGAGCGAACAGG